CAAUCUCGCUAGAUAUGCUUUGUCCUUAGAUUAUGGUCGUCAUGUUUGGCUAGGACAACCAGGAGAUCUUGAUUUUAUUUCUGUAAACAUUAUGGGCGAUGAAUAAAGCAUGCGAGAUUGUCUCAAAAGAAAAAUACUAAGCUCCGAGGAAAUGAGAACCUCUGGUGCAUCGGGGCUAUGUACUAGGCGAUAAGUUUUUCUUUUAGGAAAAGUUUGUGUAGCGAUAGGUGGGUCCGGUUUUGGGAUGGUUGGUUCUCUUCAUCGCUAUCACUAUCGCUGCCUCUUCCUUCUUCCGUUCCCAGCGGCGCUCGCCCUUCCUCCUGCCAUCUGUGACCCGAACCCGCUGUGGCGCGCCCUUCACAGGAGGAGCCAGAGCCCAUCUAGAUGUAGUAGCCCAACCCAAUACAUGACGAGGUGCUUCAUGGAGCAAAGUGACGGGAGCGAUCGAUCUAGAUCAAUCGAUUUGGUCGUUCCCCAAUUCCCCACUGCUGCCAAUCCCUAGCGCCACCGCCGGACGCCUCCUCCAAUCAUGUGUAUCUCCUGCACCUCCUGCCGCCGGUGUUAAUCAUCUACAUACCUGGGCAUGUUCACCGCCGUUCUGGACUGAGCGUCGUCGUUGUUCCACAGGAGGCGAUGGAAGGGUGGGAGGAUGUUGCAUGGACGGAAGAUAUAUUCCCCAUGCCAUCUGACGCAGGAGAAGUGAUGGACCUAGAAAACCUGGUGGACACCCUCUCCCAGAUGCCCGACGAGACCCCAUGGUGCUCGAUGGUGAGCCGGACAAAUUCAGCGGUGGUGCCGACUGCCAAGGAUGCACGAGAGGUACACUAGUGAGGUUGUUGGACCAGAACGAUGGUAGCAGCUCAGCGGGCUUUUCUGGCUACAAGAGGAGGUAAUCCAAAGAAAUAUAUGUCCCAGCCGAUUUCUUUUUUCCCUUAUCUUGUACUGAUCAUCUAUGUACGUGUACAUAAAACUGAACCGAUGUAUGUAAGGACAGUUCUUGUCGGUGUUAA